UUAAGUUAUUAAGGGCGCACGGUGGAUGCCUUGGCACUAGAAGCCGAUGAAGGACGUUACUAACGACGAUAUGCUUUGGGGAGCUGUAAGUAAGCUUUGAUUCAGAGAUUUCCGAAUGGGGAAACCCAGCAUGAGUUAUGUCAUGUUAUCGAUAUGUGAAUACAUAGCAUAUCAGAAGGCACACCCGGAGAACUGAAACAUCUUAGUACCCGGAGGAAGAGAAAGAAAAUUCGAUUCCCUUAGUAGCGGCGAGCGAAACGGGAAGAGCCCAAACCAACAAGCUUGCUUGUUGGGGUUGUAGGACACUCUAUACGGAGUUACAAAGGACGACAUUAGACGAAUCAUCUGGAAAGAUGAAUCAAAGAAGGUAAUAAUCCUGUAGUCGAAAAUGUUGUCUCUCUUGAGUGGAUCCUGAGUACGACGGAGCACGUGAAAUUCCGUCGGAAUCUGGGAGGACCAUCUCCUAAGGCUAAAUACUCUCUAGUGACCGAUAGUGAACCAGUACCGUGAGGGAAAGGUGAAAAGCACCCCGGAAGGGGAGUGAAAUAGAACCUGAAACCGUGUGCUUACAAGUAGUCAGAGCCCGUUAAUGGGUGAUGGCGUGCCUUUUGUAGAAUGAACCGGCGAGUUACGAUUUGAUGCAAGGUUAAGCAGUAAAUGUGGAGCCGUAGCGAAAGCGAGUCUGAAUAGGGCGUUUAGUAUUUGGUCGUAGACCCGAAACCAGGUGAUCUACCCUUGGUCAGGUUGAAGUUCAGGUAACACUGAAUGGAGGACCGAACCGACUUACGUUGAAAAGUGAGCGGAUGAACUGAGGGUAGCGGAGAAAUUCCAAUCGAACCUGGAGAUAGCUGGUUCUCUCCGAAAUAGCUUUAGGGCUAGCCUCAAGUGAUGAUUAUUGGAGGUAGAGCACUGUUUGGACGAGGGGCCCCUCUCGGGUUACCGAAUUCAGACAAACUCCGAAUGCCAAUUAAUUUAACUUGGGAGUCAGAACAUGGGUGAUAAGGUCCGUGUUCGAAAGGGAAACAGCCCAGACCACCAGCUAAGGUCCCAAAAUAUAUGUUAAGUGGAAAAGGAUGUGGCGUUGCCCAGACAACUAGGAUGUUGGCUUAGAAGCAGCCAUCAUUUAAAGAGUGCGUAAUAGCUCACUAGUCGAGUGACACUGCGCCGAAAAUGUACCGGGGCUAAACAUAUUACCGAAGCUGUGGAUUGUCCUUUGGACAAUGGUAGGAGAGCGUUCUAAGGGCGUUGAAGCAUGAUCGUAAGGACAUGUGGAGCGCUUAGAAGUGAGAAUGCCGGUGUGAGUAGCGAAAGACGGGUGAGAAUCCCGUCCACCGAUUGACUAAGGUUUCCAGAGGAAGGCUCGUCCGCUCUGGGUUAGUCGGGUCCUAAGCUGAGGCCGACAGGCGUAGGCGAUGGAUAACAGGUUGAUAUUCCUGUACCACCUAUAAUCGUUUUAAUCGAUGGGGGGACGCAGUAGGAUAGGCGAAGCGUGCGAUUGGAUUGCACGUCUAAGCAGUAAGGCUGAGUAUUAGGCAAAUCCGGUACUCGUUAAGGCUGAGCUGUGAUGGGGAGAAGACAUUGUGUCUUCGAGUCGUUGAUUUCACACUGCCGAGAAAAGCCUCUAGAUAGAAAAUAGGUGCCCGUACCGCAAACCGACACAGGUAGUCAAGAUGAGAAUUCUAAGGUGAGCGAGCGAACUCUCGUUAAGGAACUCGGCAAAAUGACCCCGUAACUUCGGGAGAAGGGGUGCUCUUUAGGGUUAACGCCCAGAAGAGCCGCAGUGAAUAGGCCCAAGCGACUGUUUAUCAAAAACACAGGUCUCUGCUAAACCGUAAGGUGAUGUAUAGGGGCUGACGCCUGCCCGGUGCUGGAAGGUUAAGAGGAGUGGUUAGCUUCUGCGAAGCUACGAAUCGAAGCCCCAGUAAACGGCGGCCGUAACUAUAACGGUCCUAAGGUAGCGAAAUUCCUUGUCGGGUAAGUUCCGACCCGCACGAAAGGCGUAACGAUUUGGGCACUGUCUCAACGAGAGACUCGGUGAAAUCAUAGUACCUGUGAAGAUGCAGGUUACCCGCGACAGGACGGAAAGACCCCGUGGAGCUUUACUGUAGCCUGAUAUUGAAAUUCGGCACAGCUUGUACAGGAUAGGUAGGAGCCUUUGAAACGUGAGCGCUAGCUUACGUGGAGGCGCUGGUGGGAUACUACCCUAGCUGUGUUGGCUUUCUAACCCGCACCACUUAUCGUGGUGGGAGACAGUGUCAGGCGGGCAGUUUGACUGGGGCGGUCGCCUCCUAAAAGGUAACGGAGGCGCUCAAAGGUUCCCUCAGAAUGGUUGGAAAUCAUUCAUAGAGUGUAAAGGCAUAAGGGAGCUUGACUGCGAGACCUACAAGUCGAGCAGGGUCGAAAGACGGACUUAGUGAUCCGGUGGUUCCGCAUGGAAGGGCCAUCGCUCAACGGAUAAAAGCUACCCCGGGGAUAACAGGCUUAUCUCCCCCAAGAGUUCACAUCGACGGGGAGGUUUGGCACCUCGAUGUCGGCUCAUCGCAUCCUGGGGCUGUAGUCGGUCCCAAGGGUUGGGCUGUUCGCCCAUUAAAGCGGUACGCGAGCUGGGUUCAGAACGUCGUGAGACAGUUCGGUCCCUAUCCGUCGUGGGCGUAGGAAAUUUGAGAGGAGCUGUCCUUAGUACGAGAGGACCGGGAUGGACAUACCUCUGGUGUACCAGUUGUCGUGCCAACGGCAUAGCUGGGUAGCUAUGUGUGGACGGGAUAAGUGCUGAAAGCAUCUAAGCAUGAAGCCCCCCUCAAGAUGAGAUUUCCCAACUUCGGUUAUAAGAUCCCUCAAAGAUGAUGAGGUUAAUAGGUUCGAGGUGGAAGCAUGGUGACAUGUGGAGCUGACGAAUACUAAUCGAUCGAAGACUUAAUCAA
rnacentral:rRNA from 1 species